ACAACAACAACAUCAUAGCACACAUGAAACAGCAACAGCAAGCGACAACAUGGCUACCGGUGAGAGUGGGAAGUUUGUUCCCAAGAAAGGAAUAAAAUCAUCUGUUGAGAGUCACAAACAACAAGGCA